GGGAAGGAUUGUGGUUGGCCACCGAGAAGAGGGUCAGGAACCACCAGGAAAUGGAGGAGCUGACUCAGGCUGUUCAGGAACUCGCAGCCGAGAUGCAGAGGUUCCACCAGAACAUGGAGAAGAUCACCGAGUACCAGGCAUCACUGCUCCGAGUCAAUAAGCUCAUGUGUCUCUGGAUGGAGAGUACCCAGGAGUUAACAAAGUAUCGCAGUCAGAUGAGCCAGCCUCCAGGGUCCACGUUGAGGGUGCUCAGGAAAUGACAUCAGCUGCUCUGUUCCUUCGAAGUGCCCAGGGACACCACCUCCUCCUGGCUGUGGCUCCGAGUGUAGGCUUGCUCUGCUUGAGGAUGAGAGCUGUGUAAAUUCUCACUCUGCUGGUCUCCCCAGCCUUUGUGAAGCGGGCAUUUUAGACUUGUGGAUGAGAGUGGGAGCCGGCCCCUGGGUCUCGUGCCAUGCUGUUAUGUGCCUCUGCUCCUUCCCUGGUCUGGUAUAUGCCACACUCUCUUCCCUGAGGUGGCACAGCAGUGUGAGAUUUAAAGCAAAACUGCAACUACAGGCCUUCCAAAUACAUUUCUUCUUUUGUACUUACUAACAUGUCAGUAUGUUGCAAAAGGGUAUUAUGUAAAUAAACUCCACCUUGGUAUCAAA